UACGUAGGGGGCGAGCGUUGUCCGGAUUUACUGGGCGUAAAGGGUGAGUAGGCGGUUAUAUAUGUCAGGUGUAAAAGGCUAUGGCUUAACCAUGGUUAGCACUUGAAACUGUAUGACUUGAGUGCAGGAGAGGUAAGUGGAAUUCCUAGUGUAGCGGUGAAAUGCGUAGAUAUUAGGAGGAACACCAGUGGCGAAGGCGACUUACUGGACUGUAACUGACGCUGAGUCACGAAAGCGUGGGUAGCAAACAGGAUUAGAUACCCCGGUAGUCCCUGA
rnacentral:rRNA from 1 species